rnacentral:pre_miRNA from 1 species
CCGGCCGGCGUCCCGGGCAGGAGGGCCACGGGACCGCCCUCGCGUCUGUGGUGGUCGGAUCCCGCGGUCGUGUUUUCCCGGUGGCCUGGCCGUG